rnacentral:rRNA from 1 species
UACGUAGGGGCCGAGCGUUGUCCGGAGUUACUGGGCGUAAAGCGCGCGCAGGCGGCUCGUCAAGCCUGACGUGAAAGCCCCCGGCUCAACCGGGGAGGGUCGUCGGGGACUGGCGAGCUUGAGGUCGGCAGGGGCUGGUGGAAUUCCCGGUGUAGUGGUGAAAUGCGUAGAGAUCGGGAGGAACACCCGUGGCGAAGGCGGCCAGCUGGGCCAUUACUGACACUCAGCUGCGAAAGCUAGGGGAGCAAACAGG